UACAGAGGGUGCUAGCGUUGUUCGGAAUUAUUGGGCGUAAAGGGCGCGUAGGCGGCCCUGUGUGUCGGGUGUGAAAGCCCACCUCUUAAAGGUGGAAUUGCAUUCGAAACUACAGGGCUGGAGUGUCGGAGAGGAUGGCGGAAUUCCUGGUGUAGAGGUGAAAUUCGUAGAUAUCAGGAGGAACACCGGUGGCGAAGGCGGCCAUCUGGACGACAACUGACGCUGAGGCGCGAAAGCGUGGUGAUCAAACAGG
rnacentral:rRNA from 1 species